CGAUUACCGUGGUAAUCAGCUGUUUACAUCUUGAUUAUUUUUGUGGCAUAAGAAACAUAUUAUUUGUGAAUAAACUGCAAUGGCUGCGGCAACGAAACUGCUGAAAAAAUCAUUAGGCGCCUUUACACAGAUACAGCAAUGCCGAAGCAAUGCAAACCUUUCCGCUUCAGUCGGACAACGCAAUGAACUAUUCAACCAAGAGCAGCGACGUCAGAGAGACGCGGUUGGCCGUAUUGAGAAGAUCGAAGUGCGUUACUUGGGGCUACCCGAGGACGUGACUCUGGUAAUGAACAACAACAUCUCAACUCCAUUCAAUUGCGCACAGCACUUAAGCGAGGGCCACUGCAAACGGUCUGCGUUGGCCUUAAUAGAUGGCAGUGUUCCGUGGGAUAUGCACAGACCACUGCAAGAAUCCUGCACAUUGCAACUGCUUAACUUUAAUGUCUCCGAACCACACGUGGUCAACAAGGCUUUUUGGCGCACCUGCAGCUUCAUGCUAGGCGCUGCUUUGCAACGGGCCUUUAGGCAGGAAGCAAACCUACAGUUGCACAGCUUUCCGGGGCCAAACAUUAAGUCCGGAAGCUUUGUGCAUGACAUCGUGCUUGGUGUACAAAACUGGGUGCCGACCAAAGCCGAGAUGCGGGCCAUUUCGGCAGAAAUGGUUAAAUUAGCAGCACAGGAUUUGCGCAUCGAGCGUUUGGAGGUGGAUCAGGAAUUGGCGAAGGAAAUGUUCAAGGAUUCACGCUACAAGAGCGAGCAAUUGCCAAGUAUUGCGCAACAAAAUCAGACCCGCGUGACGCUUUAUCGUUUGGGCGAACACAUUGAUAUUUCGCGCGGCCCCAUGGUAGCAUCCACCCGUUUCCUGGGCAAAUGCACAGUUUCAGCGGCACACAAGUUGGCCAAUGAAGAUCCAUCAAGUGCAUUUUAUCGCAUACAAGGCGUGGCCUUGCCCAUCGGCUUUGCUCUAAAUCAUUUAGCUUACGGUUUGCUGGAACAACGCGCCCAGAAAUUGUUGGGAAGAAAAAGAGCAGUCCUCAAUUAAUGAGCUGUCUGAGAGACCAGUCAUUCGGGGAUUCAAUUUAGACGAAGGUCAUGGUUGCCAUUAAAAAAAGAUUGACAAAUUAAGGACUACAAUGAAUUCCAAGGAUCUCCUCGAGGGACAAAGCAAAUUUUUCCAGGAUCGGACUUUAAUUAAGCCAGAUAUUGCUACUUUAAGAACAACUAAGCUAAAAUUAUAAUUUAUGCUCGUUUUGUACACCUUUAAGAGAAAUAAUUAAGAAAAUAAGCAUAAAAAACUAUUUUAUAAAUUUAAACAAAAAUAAAUGCAUUAUUUAAAAUGAAAA